CUUGAUGCGCAUUGUUUCAAAACGCACGCGAAUAGCAACGUAUGACUGAGCAGUCAUCAAUGUAACUGCGAACAAAGACUUUGGCAAUCACGACGAUCAUUCCCCCGAACUCCCUCCAAUCUUCUUUCAACGUUGCGAGCCUCGCCUUCCGAAACGGCCUGCUUGCUUUUCAGAAUGGUUUCCCUGCUCGUUCAUAUGAGUGCUCUGUGCACCCCGUCUCUCAUAAUGCUCGCCUAGCUAAGUUGUCACGCCAUAUUAGCGUCUUUUAUUGUUCCCCCUUCUUCCAUGUUGCGGUGACUCUUCUCGGCUUCUUUACCUUUUUUUUUGGUCUUUGUAUGUGUGGUGCUUUCUGUCUGUUUCACCAGCUAUUCGUACUCUCUUUAGGACGUAAAACGGUGCAUCUCUCUCUCUCUCUCUCCCACUUUGCUCACGAAUGCUGUGUACUACCGUGAAGACGCUCCUUGGACAGAGAGUGCUGCGGACUCACUCUUCGCCCCUCCUCUCCUCCGUCCCACGCCAGCGAGCGAGUGUACCGGUCCAUGCGGAGGGCGAGCCACUCAGCUCUUCUUUGUGUGCAUCGCAUGCACGCUUUUCUCGGUGCACAGGGGUGCGACGAUGUCGGGGGACGCGCUGGGGCCUCUCUUUUCGUUGACCAGUGGAGGAGCGCUCUUUGCUCUGCCCGCGAGUGUUCAUUCGCGUUUACGUUGUGGCUGCGAAUGGGCCGCAGUGACCUUGUGGCCCCCUCUCUCUCGUUCUUUCCGCUGCCCGUGUCUACAG
rnacentral:misc_RNA from 1 species